rnacentral:lncRNA from 14 species
GCCCUCCCUAGAAGGGACCUCAGGUAUGAGGUGAUGCAGUGACAUGUCCUGCUUCUGCCCCACAGCUUCUGCCAGCAGAGUCCUGAUGCUGCAGCAGCUGCCCCCUUACCAGUUCCUAAGGCCCUUUCUGAAAUGCUACACAAAUGAAAGGAUAAGAAUCACAGUCAGCCGAGGCUAUUUCAAAGUACUUCACUGAAUUCAGCUGACGAAGGUCAUGUUUCUUUACCAGGUUAUCCCAUUAGCUCACUUAAACCCCAAGCAUUCUGGAAUGGGAAAAUAACCCUUGUAUUUACUGUAAGAAAAGCCUUUCACCCAGUAGAGGACAGCUCACUCGGUAACACAAAUAACAACUGUGUAAUUUUGACUAUCAGAUUAUAACCACACACUGGAUCCAGCCCUAGGGAAUAAAACACUCUGGGUUGAUUCAUUUCUCUUUCAGUUUUCNNNNNNNNNNNNNNNNNNNNGGUGUGGGCACAAGCAAAUGAAGCCACAGCUGGUGAUGAGCUGCCACCACCCUCUGCAGGGUUGGCACAGUGCAGAGGGGUGCAAUAAACUGAUUUCACUUCAGGAAACAGCAGAAUCUUACAUUAAAGAUGUGCACAGGAGCUACAGGACAAGAGCACAGUGGGACACAGCAGGGAGUCAACAUCCACAUACACGAAGGGUGAGACGGCUCCAGUUCCCUCGAGGGUAGAACCCCAACAACGUAUCCAGCUACACCAGCAAGAGAGAACAACCUCCUCACUGAGCAGGCUGAAGGUGAAACUCCCCUUCUGUGUCUGACGAGCUGUGUGUGCGCUCGGUGAGAGGCUGCUCACAGACGGCAGCUCUCACACAACGACCCACGCUUCCCAUCAGCGCAUCCCCGUUCCCAAGCUGUCGGACGGCUCCUCUCACUCCAGGCACAUGGCACAGCCCAGGCUGGGCCCGGGGGCUGUUCCCAUCCUGUGGCCGUUCCAC